rnacentral:rRNA from 1 species
AGUGAACGCUGGCGGUAGGCCUAACACAUGCAAGUCGAACGGCAGCACAGUAAGAGCUUGCUCUUACGGGUGGCGAGUGGCGGACGGGUGAGGAAUACAUCGGAAUCUACUUUUUCGUGGGGGAUAACGUAGGGAAACUUACGCUAAUACCGCAUACGACCUACGGGGGAAAGCAGGGGAUCUUCGGACCUUGCGCGAUUGAAUGAGCCGAUGUCGGAUUAGCUAGUUGGCGGGGUAAAGGCCCACCCAGGCGACGAUCCGUAGCUGGUCUGAGAGGAUGAUCAGCCACACUGGAACUGAGACACGGUCCAGACUACUACGGGAGGCAGCAGUGGGGAAUAUUGGACAAUGGGCGCAAGCCUGAUCCAGCCAUACCGCGUGGGUGAAGAAGGCCUUCGGGUUGUAAAGCCCUUUUGUUGGGAAAGAAAAGCAGCAGGUUAAUACCCCGCUGUUCUGACGGUACCCAAAGAAUAAGCACCGGCUAACUUCGUG